UUGUUCCUUCCUUUUCUGGUAAACCUCAAAUCUCUCAUCCAUCAUUUUAGCCAUAGAAGCCGUGAGAGUAGUUGUAAGAGUGGAUGUGAGAGCUUCCAUCAAUAGCUUGUUGUUUUGUAUAUUGUUGCUCUAUUCCUCAUCUUUACUAAACAUGUUUCUGCAACUAGAAGACACAACAGUAUCAAAUUCCUUUUAAACAGAUCAAAUCAGACCCAUAAACACAAAAAACAUGAACCCUAGAAUCUGAAAAGUUCAAACAAGUCUAAGAAGGUGAAAAGUUCACGUUUUCCAAAUCGCACGAUUGAGUACAGAAUCCUAUAGUUCAGAACGUGAAUAAAACGAUUUAACAAGUUUCGUUACGAUCCGAUAAGUAUUCAAGCGUGAAACGACGAACGAAUUUUGACGAACAGAGAAUACCAAGAGUUUAGAAUAACACAACCUGAUA
rnacentral:lncRNA from 1 species